rnacentral:rRNA from 1 species
UACGUAGGCAGCAAGCGUUGUUCGGAAUUACUGGGCGUAAAGAGUGUGUAGGCGGUGCUCUAAGUUCGGUGUGAAAUCUCCCGGCUCAACUGGGAGGGUGCGCCGGAAACUGGAAUGCUUGAGCGUGGGAGAGGAAAGCGGAAUUCCUGGUGUAGCGGUGAAAUGCGUAGAUAUCGGAAGGAACACCAGUGGCGAAAGCGGCUUCCUGGUCCAGCACCGACGUCAGGCACGAAAGCGUGGGGAGCAAACAGG